AAAGUGCGGCUGCGCCGACGGGAGCCCGAGGCGCGUACAAUGCGACGUGGGUCCCCCGAUCUUGAGGAGCGUUCAAAGGCUUAACAAGUGAUGCUGCGCCGAGGGCGUUUCCCGUUUAGCCAGAUGCCAAGCAGACGAACACAGUUAAAAAACUGGCUUGAGAAAGGUGUAAAACAGUAAGGUCGUGACUGGACUGCGGCCUUCAAGGGGAAUUACCGAAUACACUGCACCCAGAGGAGGGAAUUACGAGACCUGAGAUUAGCCUUAGGUCGUGCCCUGAAAACAGGCCUUGGAGUUAAGUCAACAGGAGAAGAAUCGAGUGAAGUUACAGAUGAGGAAGAAGUCAAGCAGCUUCGAAAGAAAGACUAACAAGCCAUGUUCAGUAACAAGGUCCAAGAUGUACAUACCAUCAAUACUACGGAAGUCCAGUAAAAUGAAUUUUUUCUGCAUCAUCUAAUACAAGGUUCCUGUACUCAUCAAAAUCAAUAAUAUGGCCCUCUCUCUACACAUUCACUUGCUCAUACGGCCACAUCGGGAUCCAGGACCUAUUCUGCAAGCAUCUGAAAAGAAGGCUGAUGGGCUACACCACCACGUUCUGCGCUUUCUGGCCCUGACCUCGGUACGCCAUGGCAGACUGACCCCAAAUUACUUUAU